CACGGAGUUAGCCGGGGCUUAUUCUCCCGGUACUGUCAUUAUCAUCCCGGGUAAAAGAGCUUUACAACCCUAAGGCCUUCAUCACUCACGCGGCAUUGCUGGAUCAGGCUUUCGCCCAUUGUCCAAUAUUCCCCA
rnacentral:rRNA from 1 species